rnacentral:rRNA from 1 species
UACGGGGGGAGCAAGCGCUGUUCGGAUUUACUGGGCGUAAAGGGCGCGUAGGCGGUCGUGACAAGUCACUUGUGAAAUCUCCGGGCUUAACUCGGAACGGUCAAGUGAUACUGUCGGACUAGAGUACAGAAGGGGCAACUGGAAUUCUCGGUGUAGCGGUGAAAUGCGUAGAUAUCGAGAGGAACACCUGCGGCGAAGGCGGGUUGCUGGGCUGAUACUGACACUGAGGGACGAAAGCUAGGGGAGCGAAUGGG